rnacentral:lncRNA from 1 species
GAUCUAAAAGAUCUUUUUCCUAAAAUUCCCGGUUGGUCUACUUAUAUCAUACCUCUCCUCAAUGAAUAUUCGUUUUAUAUUGGUCAGCCAAUCCGAAUAGUUAAUAUUCGGAGUCAUAAUUUGAAUAAGAAUUCUUGUAGUUUACAACAUGUGAUUAAAUAAAAUUAAAUAAAAAGAAAAAGGGGAUGUUUUAUAGAACGAUUCCCCUUUCAGUUGAUUUUCUUCAGCGAUUGACCAAAAGAAAAUUUUCAUAAAUAAGAAAUUGCAUGAACUUAGAUCAAUCAAAUAAUGAUAUUUCUAUCCAAUGAUUCGCCUAAUCAAUUUGUCCAUUUAGAUUGCAUCCGCGCGAGAUAAUGAUAAAAAAAGAGGAAGGGAGAGAAUAAUUUACAAAAAGGGGGAUUCAGANNNNN